GGAAGAAGAAAAGAAAGAAGGGAAAGGAAGAUGGAACCAAUAAUAGAGAGACAGGAGAGAAGAGAACGAUGGAAGUGGCUGGAAAAGUGGCCGCCGGCGAGCAAAUUCCGGUGAUUGGAAAGAGCAAAGGGAGAUUGAGCAAAUGGGAGGGGGCCAAGCAGGGGCAUUAUUAGAAGAUUUCAAUCAUUUUUCGGCUUAAGGGUCGAGCUUUAAACUGUCAAGAAGGAGAUCAUGCAGAGGAGUGAAUCCCACUCAAGGUUGGGCCACACGACUUUAUUUCAUCAUAUAUUCUAUAGUUGUGUUUUAUU